AAUGGAUUGAUGAGAAGAAUUAUGCAUGUAUAUGGCUAAGGUUUAGGUGUUAGUUUUGGACCAAGCAAAGCAAAGUGGAUAAAAGUGAAAGAGGAAGACGUGGCAAAAGAGGUGCCUCAGUGGUAACGUUAGUUGUAGUUUGGAGGAAGUUGGAAUUAGCAUCAUCAUCAGCAUGGCUUCUCUGCUCCAUCCAACUACAACUCCUAACACCACCACACUUAAGCAGCCGCGUAAUAAUUGCUUCUGUCCCUUAAAACCCACCAUUCCAUACAAUGUUUCUUUCUUAACUAACACAAACCGUUUCAAGACCAAUUCUACUAAGUGCUAUGCAUUUUUUGAUAAUGUGGACCACUUCCCUGCUCUCCUCCGAUCAGGACUGCUUCAGUUUGAAGAUCUACCAGACAUGCAGAGGUGUGAAGUUCUCGUGUUUGGUGCUCUCAUAUGGCUUUACUUAACUGCAAGACCUGGUGUUCUCAUUGGUGCCAUUGAUGCUUACCUUCUUGCUCCUCUUCAACUCGCUUUCGACAAUCUUUCUGGAAGGAGAAACUUGAAGACCACUGAUUUUCUUGUUGGAGAUAAGCUCGGUGAAGGCUCCUUCGGUGUUGUUUAUUCCGGUCUUUUGGAUCCCAAAUCUAAGGAUAAUAAAGUCAUUCUUAAAAAGGUUAAGGUUGGAAUCCAAGGGGCCGAAGAGUUUGGUGAGUUUGAGGAAUGGUUCAAUUACAGGCUAUCUAGAGCAGCACCUGAAACAUGUGCUGAUUUCCUUGGAAGUUUCGUAGCUGAUAAAACUAACUCACAGUUCAUAAAAGGUGGAAAAUGGCUUGUUUGGAAGUUUGAGGGAGACCGUACUCUUGCCGAUUACAUGAAACAACGCAACUUUCCUUCAAACUUAGAAUCUGUAAUGUUUGGACGCGUCUUGCAAGGUGUAGACUCUUCUAGGCGAAAUGCAUUGAUCAUCAAGCAGAUCAUGCGCCAGAUAAUUACUUCUCUAAAGAAAAUUCAUGAUACAGGCAUCGUUCACAGAGAUAUAAAGCCAGCCAACUUAGUGGUUACUAAACGGGGGCAGAUUAAACUCAUUGAUUUUGGUGCAGCAACAGACCUGAGGAUCGGAAAGAAUUAUAUUCCCAACCGCACCCUUUUGGAUCCCGACUAUUGCCCUCCAGAACUAUAUGUACUCCCGGAAGAAACACCAAGUCCUCCACCGGAGCCUAUUGCUGCUUUCUUUUCACCAAUCCUAUGGCAGUUAAACAGCCCUGAUCUGUUUGAUAUGUACUCUGCUGGGAUUGUACUCCUGCAAAUGGCAAUACCAACCUUAAGGUCUCCUGCUGCUUUGAAGAAUUUCAAUUUGGAAAUAAAAACAUGUGGAUAUGAUUUGAAAAAAUGGAGGGAGAAUACUCGCCUCAGGCCCGACUUCCAAAUUCUUGAUAGUGAAUCUGGUAGAGGGUGGGACUUAGCAACAAAGCUUAUCUCUAAGAGAGGUCCCUUAAGAAGAGGACGUUUAUCUGCUGCUUCAGCUUUGAGACAUCCUUAUUUUCUUCUGGGAGGUGAUCAGGCAGCGGCAGUUCUUUCAAAAUUAAGCUUAAGUAGAAAGUGACCAGCAUAAUAAUAUACAUGGUGUUAAAGCUCAUCGUGAUAGAGUACUUUUCUCAACACUUUUUUCUUCUUACAACCCCAGUGGCAUCUCUCAGAGCAGAGGGAGUUGAAUAGGGCAAGCCUUGUGGAUUGAAGAGAUAUCAUGCUUGACGCAGAAGGAGCUUUUGAGAGAACAAUGGCAUACCCGUCAUCCAUGUAAUCCGUUCCAUCGGGAAAGAGUUGCCACAAAAGGCUUCCAGCCCCACUACCUCCUUUCUUUGUAGAGUUUAGGAUGGUCUUGUACACAGUAUUUAUUAGUGUAUCUCUAUAUGUUGAAUUAUAGCCAGGGUCUUUUGCAGAUACACCAAACUCACCAAAAACAACUGGCAUUCCAAGAUACUUUUCAGCAUCCUCCAUGUGGGCUUCCAUCCAAGACUUAACAAAUGGGAUAUGGGUAUCCGCAAUUGAUUGUGAAAUCCUUCAACCAGGUAACUAAUUCCUAGUUAGAUAUUGUUGUAUUCAUGCAUAAAGAAGAAAUGCUUAUGGCAUAAGAGUUCAAUAAUUAUGCCAAUCAUAUUUCACCAUCAUGUCAAACUUGUUUGUUUAUCGGUGCAUAGCUAUUAAACUCAAUGACAAAAAACGCGGUCACUUGCAUAUUAAUAUGA